GUCAACUACCCCGCCCUAAAGGGCGGAGCUUGCCUGCCUGCCGCGGCGCACGCGGCGCAGACAGGUGAAAACAAGCUAGGUUGACCAGCCUAAGCCCUGUUAAAGGGGCUACGUGUACAACAGGUCGUCAAGACUCACCGGCGGAUGCUUCCUCAGUCUGCCGCUCUGAAAGAUCAGGAUCAUGCUGACGCAAGGUAAAACGUCGAAGGUUUUGAUCGCCGUGCAAGCGGGAGCCGGUUGUACACAUUGGCGAGGGGAGCGAC
rfam:Thiorhodospira sibirica ATCC 700588 ctg284, whole genome shotgun sequence.